rnacentral:tRNA from 1 species
CGCUUCCUGGUCCACGGCAAGGGGGCCGGCGGUUCCGGACCGCGGGAUCGCGAAGCGUUCCUCUUCGCUGAGGGACGC